AACGAACGCUGGCGGCAUGCCUAACACAUGCAAGUCGAACGAGACCUUCGGGUCUAGUGGCGCACGGGUGCGUAACGCGUGGGAACCUGCCCUUAGGUUCGGAAUAACUCCCCGAAAGGGGUGCUAAUACCGGAUAAUGUCUUCGGACCAAAGAUUUAUCGCCUUUGGAUGGGCCCGCGUUGGAUUAGCUAGUUGGUAGGGUAAAAGCCUACCAAGGCGACGAUCCAUAGCUGGUCUGAGAGGAUGAUCAGCCACACUGGGACUGAGACACGGCCCAGACUCCUACGGGAGGCAGCAGUGGGGAAUAUUGGACAGUGGGCGAAAGCCUGAUCCAGCAAUGCCGCGUGAGUGAUGAAGGCCUUAGGGUUGUAAAGCUCUUUUACCCGGGAGGAUAAUGACAGUACCGGGAGAAUAAGCUCCGGCUAACUCCGUG
rnacentral:rRNA from 1 species